CUACGGGUUGCUGCAGUGAGGAAUAUUGCACAAUGGGGGGAACCCUGAUGCAGCAACGCCGCGUGGAGGAUGACGCAUUUCGGUGUGUAAACUCCUUUUAUAUGUCAAGAAAAUGACGGUAGCAUAUGAAUAAGCGCCGGCUAACUCCGUGCCAGCAGCCGCGGUAAUACGGAGGGCGCAAGCGUUACUCGGAAUCACUGGGCGUAAAGGACGCGUAGGCGGGUUGAAAAGUCAGGUGUGAAAGCCUACAGCUUAACUGUAGAACUGCACUUGAAACUCUCAAUCUAGAGUAUGGGAGGGGCAGAUGGAAUUAGUGGUGUAGGGGUAAAAUCCGUAGAUAUCACUAGGAAUACCUAAAGCGAAGGCGAUCUGCUGGAACAUUACUGACGCUAAGGCGUGAAAGCGUGGGGAGCAAACAGGAUUAGAUACCCGAGUAGUC
rnacentral:rRNA from 1 species